rnacentral:rRNA from 1 species
GAACGCUAGCUACAGGCUUAACACAUGCAAGUCGAGGGGAAACGACAUCGAAAGCUUGCUUUUGAUGGGCGUCGACCGGCGCACGGGUGAGUAACGCGUAUCCAACCUGCCCAUCACUUGGGAAUAACCUUGCGAAAGUAAGACUAAUACCCAAUGACAUCCCACGAAGACAUCUGAAUGGGAUUAAAGAUUUAUCGGUGAUGGAUGGGGAUGCGUCUGAUUAGCUUGUUGGCGGGGUAACGGCCCACCAAGGCAACGAUCAGUAGGGGUUCUGAGAGGAAGGUCCCCCACAUUGGAACUGAGACACGGACCAAACUCCUACGGGAGGCAGCAGUGAGGAAGAUUGGUCAAUGGGCGAGAGCCUGAACCAGCCAAGUAGCGUGCAGGAUGACGGCCCUAUGGGUUGUAAACUGCUUUUAUAAGGGAAUAAAGUGGGUCUCGUGAGACUUUUUGCAUGUACCUUAUGAAUAAGGACCGGCUAAUUCCGUG